rnacentral:lncRNA from 1 species
AGGGUGAGCAAAAAUUUUCCAUUUUUCUAAACGUUACAAUUAAGAGCCAACAAAAAAAGUAAGAAUAAUUUGUUUAACCUGUAUGCUAAAGGUAGCUUAAACUCCAGAUGAGUCAAGGAACUUAGAGGUUCUUUGAUUGUGAAGAGUGAUUUUGUUCUAUCACUGACAUAAAAAACGGUGCCAACCACCUUAUAACGUAGUACAUUUUCUGUUGCUAUUUAAAGAGAAAGAUUGGUGACCAUGGCCACAUAUGUUAACUUGUUGAGCUUUUGUACAGGGAACAAGUGUGACAUUUUAUAUUUUCAUAUUUAUGACUUAUGAAUAUGGCAUCUGUUUCUCAGACACUAGAUUGAUUUCACUAAGUAUUUGAGAGACUUUGUAAAAGAAAAACAUUCUUGCAUCUCACAAGCUUUAAUUGUUUUGUGCUUGGUCAAGUAUUCAUCUUCUUCUUCAUCAAGCUCUGAUUCUUCCAGCAGUUCUUCUGAUUCUGAAGAUGAGGAUAAGAAACAAGGAAAACGGAGAAAGAAAAAGAAGAACCGUUCACAUAAAUC